rnacentral:misc_RNA from 1 species
GCAAACUUGGUCAUUUAGAGGAAGUAAAAGUCGUAACAAGGUCUCCGUUGGUGAACCAGCGGAGGGAUCAUUAGCGAGUUAAUUAUAAACUCCAAACCCAUGUGAACAUACCUAUCGUUUCCUCUGCAGGUCGUGUUACCCGGUACCUACCCUGGAGUAGGUGCCCUGUAGCACAUGGCCAGGCCUGCAAGAGGACCCCUAAACUCUUUUUAUUUUGGAAAUCUGAGGGCUAUACAAAUAAGUUAAAACUUUCAACAACGGAUCUCUUGGUUCUGGCAUCGAUGAAGAACGCAGC